rnacentral:tRNA from 1 species
ACUCAAAUAGUUUAAGUCAAAAAAUGUUAGCUUGUGGCGCUUAAGAUGUAGUUAUACUUUGAGUU